rnacentral:rRNA from 1 species
GACGUAGGGCGCGAGCGUUGUCCGGAUUUAUUGGGCGUAAAGAGCUCGUAGGCGGCUUGUCGCGUCGAAUGUGAAAUCUCAGGGCUCAACUCUGACAUUGCAUUCGAUACGGGCAGGCUCGAGUUCGGUAGGGGAGACUGGAAUUCCUGGUGUAGCGGUGAAACGCGCAGAUAUCAGGAGGAACACCGGUGGCGAAGGCGGGUCUCUGGGCCGAUACUGACGCUGAGGAGCGAAAGCGUGGGGAGCGAACAGG